UGGCUCAGGACGAACGCUGGCGGCGUGCCUAACACAUGCAAGUCGAGCGGAGUUAACAAGAGGAAGUUUCGGAUGGAAUUUGUAAUUAGCGGCGGACGGGUGAGUAACGCGUGAGCGACCAACCUUGCACAGGGGGAUAACGGACCGAAAGGUUCACUAAUACCGCAUGAGACCACGGUGUUGCAUGACACAGAGGUCAAAGGAGCAAUCCGGUGCAAGACGGGCUCGCGUCCGAUUAGGUAGUUGGUGGGGUAAUGGCCCACCGAGCCUAUGAUCGGUAGCCGACCUGAGAGGGUGAUCGGCCACAUUGGAACUGAGAUACGGUCCAAACUCCUACGGGAGGCAGCAGUGGGGAAUAUUGGGCAAUGGGGGGAAAAACCCCCUGACCCAGCAACGCCGCGUGAAGGAAGAAGGUUUUCGGAUUGUAAACUUCUGUCCUUGGUGAAGAGAAGAAGACGGUAGCCAAGGAGGAAGCCCCGGCUAACUACGUGCCAGCCGCAGC
rnacentral:rRNA from 1 species